GUGAGUAGUUCAGAGUUUGAUCCUGGCUCAGGAUGAACGCUAGCUACAGGCUUAACACAUGCAAGUCGAGGGGCAGCAUGAACAAAGCUUGCUUUGUUUGAUGGCGACCGGCGCACGGGUGAGUAACACGUAUCCAACCUGCCCAUAACUCAGGGAUAGCCUUUCGAAAGAAAGAUUAAUACUUGAUAGUAUAUUUUAGCCGCAUGGUUUUAAUAUUAAAGAUUUAUUGGUUAUGGAUGGGGAUGCGUUCCAUUAGGUAGUAGGUGAGGUAACGGCUCACCUAGCCAUCGAUGGAUAGGGGUUCUGAGAGGAAGGUCCCCCACAUUGGAACUGAGACACGGUCCAA
rnacentral:rRNA from 1 species